CCCAACUAUCCCUAUUAAUCAUUACGUCAAUCCUAGAAACCAACAAAAUAGGAUCGAACGUCCUAUUUCAUUAUUCCAUGCUAAUGUAUUCAAGCGUUAGCCUGCUUUAAACACUCUAAUUUUUUCAAAGUAACAGUCCAGUCUCCCCGCAACACCAAGUUAAUGGCAUUACGGUUCAUCAGGAAGGAGGAAUCAGUAAGACCAGUACGUACCAAUGGCACGACCAAUCUACUAACCCCGAAAUUCAACUACGAGCUUUUUAACUGCAACAACUUUAAUAUACGCUAUUGGAGCUGGAAUUACCGCGGCUGCUGGCACCAGACUUGCCCUCCAA
rnacentral:misc_RNA from 2 species